CCUACGGGAGGCAGCAGUGAGGAAUAUUGGUCAAUGGACGAGAGUCUGAACCAGCCAAGUAGCGUGAAGGAUGACUGCCCUAUGGGUUGUAAACUUCUUUUAUAAAGGAAUAAAACGAGGCACGUGUGCCUUUUUGCAUGUACUUUAUGCAUCAAGAUCGUCUAACUCCGUGCCAGCAGCCGCGGUAAUACGGAGGAUCCGAGCGUUAUCCGGAUUUAUUGGGUUUAAAGGAAGCGUAGAUGGGUUGUUAAGUCAGUUGUGAAAGUGUGCGGCUCAACCGUAAAAUUGCAAUUGAUACUGGCAGUCUUGAGUACAGUUGAGGUAGGCGGAAUUCGUGGUGUAGCGGUGAAAUGCUUAGAUAUCACGAAGAACCCCGAUUGCGAAGGCAGCUGACUAAACUGUGACUGACAUUGAUGCUCGAAAGUGUGGGUAUCAAACAGGAUUAGAUACCCUGGUAGUC
rnacentral:rRNA from 1 species